GACGAACGCUGGCGGCGUGCUUAACACAUGCAAGUCGAACGAAGAGCGACGGAAGCUUGCUUCUAUCAAUCUUAGUGGCGAACGGGUGAGUAACGCGUAAUCAACCUGCCCUUCAGAGGGGGACAACAGUUGGAAACGACUGCUAAUACCGCAUACGAUCUAACCUCGGCAUCGAGGAUAGAUGAAAGGUGGCCUCUACAUGUAAGCUAUCACUGAAGGAGGGGAUUGCGUCUGAUUAGCUAGUUGGAGGGGUAACGGCCCACCAAGGCGAUGAUCAGUAGCAGGUCUGAGAGGAUGAACGGCCACAUUGGGACUGAGACACGGCCCAGACUCCUACGGGAGGCAGCAGUGGGGAAUCUUCCGCAAUGGACGAAAGUCUGACGGAGCAACGCCGCGUGAGUGAUGACGGCCGUCGGGUUGUAAAGCUCGGUUAAUCGGGACGAAAGGCCUUCUUGCGAAUAGUGAGAAGGAUUGACGGUACCGGAAUAGAAAGCCACGGCUAACUACGUG
rnacentral:rRNA from 1 species